GCAAACUUGGUCAUUUAGAGGAAGUAAAAGUCGUAACAAGGUAACCGUAGGUGAACCUGCGGUUGGAUCAUUAACAAAUUAUUAAAAGACCAAUCCGAAAGGGUUGGCUCUUUUAAACACCAUGUGAACUGUUAAUUGUCUCUGGUGGGUUAAAAGGUUGUAGGUUUAGGCUUAUGACUGGUAGGUUUUAAUCUAUCACCCACCCAUGUUAAACUACUUGUCUUAUUAGUCAUACUUUUCAUUAACUAAAUGAAAUAACAACUUUUGACAACGGAUCUCUUGGUUCUCGCAUCGAUGAAGAACGCAGC
rnacentral:misc_RNA from 1 species